UACGGAGGGUGCAAGCGUUAUCCGGAUUUAUUGGGUUUAAAGGGUCCGUAGGCGGAUCUGUAAGUCAGUGGUGAAAUCUCACAGCUUAACUGUGAAACUGCCAUUGAUACUGCAGGUCUUGAGUGUUAUUGAAGUAGCUGGAAUAAGUAGUGUAGCGGUGAAAUGCAUAGAUAUUCUUAGAACACCAAUUGCGAAGGCAGGUUACUAAGCAACAACUGACGCUGAUGGACGAAA
rnacentral:rRNA from 1 species